rnacentral:rRNA from 5 species
AAACGACUGCUAAGACUGGAUAGGAGACAAGAGGGCAUCUUCUUGUUUUUAAAAGACCUAGCAAUAGGUAUGCUUAGGGAGGAGCUUGCGUCACAUUAGUUAGUUGGUGGGGUAAAGGCCUACCAAGACUAUGAUGUGUAGCCGGGCUGAGAGGUUGAACGGCCACAUUGGGACUGAGACACGGCCCAAACUCCUACGGGAGGCAGCAGUAGGGAAUUUUCGGCAAUGGAGGAAACUCUGACCGAGCAACGCCGCGUGAACGAUGAAGUAUUUCGGUACGUAAAGUUCUUUUAUUAGGGAAGAAUAAAUGAUGGAAAAAUCAUUCUGACGGUACCUAAUGAAUAAGCCCCGGCUAACUAUGUGCCAGCAGCCGCGGUAAUACAUAGGGGGCAAGCGUUAUCCGGAAUUAUUGGGCGUAAAGGGUGCGUAGGCGGUUAAAUAAGUUUAUGGUCUAAGUGCAAUGCUCAACAUUGUGAUGCUAUAAAAACUGUUUAGCUAGAGUAAGAUAGAGGCAAGUGGAAUUCCAUGUGUAGUGGUAAAAUGCGUAAAUAUAUGGAGGAACACCAGUAGCGAAGGCGGCUUGCUGGGUCUUUACUGACGCUGAGGCACGAAAGCGUGGGGAGCAAACAGGAUUAGAUACCCUGGUAGUCCACGCCGUAAACGAUGAGUACUAAACGUUGGGUAAAACCAGUGUUGAAGUUAACACAUUAAGUACUCCGCCUGAGUAGUACGUACGCAAGUAUGAAACUUAAAGGAAUUGACGGGACUCCGCACAAGCGGUGGAUCAUGUUGUUUAAUUCGAAGGUACCCGAAAAACCUCACCAGGUCUUGACAUGCUUCUGCAAAGCUGUAGAAACACAGUGGAGGUUAUCAGUUGCACAGGUGGUGCAUGGUUGUCGUCAGCUCGUGUCGUGAGAUGUUGGGUUAAGUCCCGCAACGAGCGCAACCCUUAUUGUUAGUUACCAGCACGUAAUGGUGGGGACUUUAGCAAGACUGCCAGUGAUAAAUUGGAGGAAGGUGGGGACGACGUCAAAUCAUCAUGCCCCUUAUGACCUGGGCUACAAACGUGAUACAAUGGCUGUUACAAAGGGUAGCUGAAGCGCAAGUUUUUGGCGAAUCUCAAAAAAACAGUCUCAGUUCGGAUUGAAGUCUGCAACUCGACUUCAUGAAGUUGGAAUCGCUAGUAAUCGCGAAUCAGCAUGUCGCGGUGAAUACGUUCUCGGGGUUUGUACACACCGCCCGUCA